GAUCCUGCUCAGGACGAACGCUGGCGGCGUGCCUAAUACAUGCAAGUCGAACGAGAGCGACCGGUGCUUGCACUGGUCAAUCUAGUGGCGAACUGGUGAGUAACACGUGGGUAACCUGCCCAUCAGAGGGGGAUAACAUUCGGAAACGGAUGCUAAAACCGCAUAGGUCCUUUAACCGCAUGGUUGAAGGAGGAAAAGAGGCGCAAGCUUCUGCUGAUGGAUGGACCCGCGGUGCA
rnacentral:rRNA from 1 species